GACGAACGCUGGCGGCGUGCUUAACACAUGCAAGUCGAACGGAAAGGCUCCAGCUUGCUGGAGUACUCGAGUGGCGAACGGGUGAGUAACACGUGGGUAAUCUGCCCUGCACUCUGGGAUAAGCCUGGGAAACUGGGUCUAAUACUGGAUAUGACCUUUCUCCUUAUGGGGUUUGGUGGAAAGUUUUUCGGUGUAGGAUGAGCCCGCGGCCUAUCAGCUUGUUGGUGGGGUGAUGGCCUACCAAGGCGACGACGGGUAGCCGGCCUGAGAGGGUGAUCGGCCCAAUGGGGCUGAGGUAACGGCCAGGACCCUUAGGGGGGGAAGAGGGGGGAAUAUUUGCACAAGGGGCGGAGGCUGGUGGAGGGGACGCGGGGUGGGGAUGAAGGCCUUUCGGUUUUAAAACUUCUUUCGGCAGAAACGAGCGUAAAUGAAGGUACCUUGAGGAGGAGCACCGGCUAACUAUGUG
rnacentral:rRNA from 1 species